rnacentral:rRNA from 1 species
AUGGGCCUACGGAGGCAGCAGUGAGGAAUAUUGGUCAAUGGGCUUACGCCUGAACCAGCCAAGUCGCGUGAGGGAAGACUGCCCUAUGGGUUGUAAACCUCUUUUGUCAGGGAGCAAUUGGCGCUACGUGUAGCGUUAUCGAGAGUACCUGAAGAAAAAGCAUCGGCUAACUCCGUGCCAGCAGCCGCGGUAAUACGGAGGGUGCGAGCGUUAAUCGGAAUUACUGGGCGUAAAGCGCUCGUAGGCGGUAUGUCAAGUCAAGGGUGAAAUCCCCGCGCUCAACGUGGGAACUGCCUUUGAAACUG